UACCGAGUGCGGGCCCUCUGGGUCCAACCUCCCAUCCGUGUCUAUCUGUACCCUGUUGCUUCGGCGUGGCCACGGCCCGCCGGAGACUAACAUUUGAACGCUGUCUGAAGUUUGCAGUCUGAGUUUUUAGUUAAACAAUCGUUUAAAACUUUCAACAACGGAUCUCUUGGUUCCGGCAUCGAUGAAGAACGCAGCGAAAUGCGAUAAUUAAUGUGAAUUGCAGAAUUCAGUGAAUCAUCGAGUCUUUGAACGCACAUUGCGCCCCCUGGUAUUCCGGGGGGCAUGCCUGUCCGAGCGUCAUUGCUGCCCUCAAGCACGGCUUGUGUGUUGGGCUUCCGUCCCUGGCAACGGGGACGGGCCCAAAAGGCAGUGGCGGCACCAUGUCUGGUCCUCGAGCGUAUGGGGCUUUGUCACCCGCUCCCGUAGGUCCAGCUGGCAGCUAGCCUCGCAACCAAUCUUU
rnacentral:misc_RNA from 1 species